rnacentral:rRNA from 1 species
UACGUAGGGUGCGAGCGUUGUCCGGAAUUACUGGGCGUAAAGAGCUCGUAGGUGAUUUGUCGCGUUGUCCGUGAAAACUCACAACUCAAUUGUGGGCGUGCGGGCGAUACGGGCAGACUGGAGUACUGCAGGGGAGACUGGAAUUCCUGGUGUAGCGGUGGAAUGCGCAGAUAUCAGGAGGAACACCGGUGGCGAAGGCGGGUCUCUGGGCAGUAACUGACGCUGAGGAGCGAAAGCGUGGGGAGCGAACAGG